CAGCCCAUGCUCUGACUCCUCCUUAUCAGAGCUGGGGUGUACUGACAGGAGGAUGUCAGGAAGCUUCUACUG
rnacentral:miRNA from 12 species